UUAAACGGUUUUUCUACUCUUUUGCUUUGAUUUCUUGGAUUAAAUUAUUAAUAUUUUAUGUUAUAUGCUAAGAUGAUAUGUGAUAAGAGAGUAAACACAACAGUUUUAGCCUACAGAGUUGCUUUACUUUUUGUGAGUCAAUGACCCUGUAGGUGAGUGGGUAAUAAUAAUAGCAGAUUAAUCCCACUGAAAAUUGCAGGUGCUGCCAGAUACGUGUGUUAAUUAGAAAUAAUGUGUGUAAAUCCAUGUGCCGCCUUCGUAUGUGUAUGGGGUAAGAGGUUGCUCCACCACUUGGACACAAGGUUUCCUGUUCCCACAUGGAGCACGACCUAUAAACUUCCCUUGCCCCAGAAGCAGCCAGUGGUUUUUGCAGGUCUGAGCUGUUGAUACAGAUAUGAACAGAGUUUAUUUUAACCCUGGUGCAGCUGCAAGUAUUUCCUUCUUGGCCAUGUACAACCAGUUUGAAACACUCAUAGAACUAUAAAUAUUUGCUGUGCAUAUAUACACGAAGAUGUAUGUCAUUUGUCAGUAUUAAUACUGAGUUUCGUCACUAUGAACAAUGAGAAGGUAAUGAGGGUGACUGUACUUGUUGUUUUGAUAUAUUCCAGAUCUUACAAUUAACACAUUUUAUUGUUUUAGCUACUUAGUCUAUUUUUAAACAUGAGCUGUUGCUGAGUUGUUUUGAGUCUUUAUUUACUUAAAGGCUUUUAAACUGACCUUUUUAUUUUAAAUCCCCUGGGUUCCAUAAUUGGUAUUUUUCUUCCUUAGGGCAUAUUUAAUUUUUGAAUAAACAUGUUGUAAGUGCUGCUAAGACUGCUCUAAUGAUCCUAUUAUAAACUAUUGUUUAUUUCUUUAAUGCUCGUAAUGUUCUAAGCCCUGUGCACAGAUGCUUAAUUAUCAACACUCUUGAUUUAAUGUAGUAAAACCGAACUGAUUUUAAUCAAUAUACAUGCAUGCAUGUAAAUAAGUAGAAAAGGAAUGUGCAUUUUGUUGUAACCAGUCAUUUAAUAAAUCAGUUUUCUCACAGAUGGCACUUGGGACGCCGAAGCCAACUGUACGCCUGAACUGAUUACAUUGUUCCUGCAGAGCUGAGCAGCUCUCCCUCCUAUUGACCGGUGCCUGUGUGAAACAGGAAUCCACAGGACCAGAGUGAGUCAGAAGAGAAAGCAGUAGCCUCUCACUUGAGUUUGGGCAUCCACUUGGAAAUACCUAGAUUCCAUUCCCAAGUGAAAUGGUUUGCGAGGGCAGGUGUUCCCAUGAAGAUCUUGCAGUUGGACACUUUGCCUUCACUAAGAUCUCUGGCAGCUCUCAUGUCAGGCUCAGAUCUUCAGGGCUAUUUUCAUGAGAUGAAAGAACUCUUAAUUAAGUGUUCAUAUCUUUGUCAGCCAGGCUCAGAAUAAAAAUUGAUGUGAUUC
rnacentral:lncRNA from 1 species